AAGAUUAAGCCAUGCAUGUCUAAGUAUAAGCAAUUUAUACAGUGAAACUGCGAAUGGCUCAUUAAAUCAGUUAUCGUUUAUUUGAUAGUUCCUUUACUACAUGGUAUAACUGUGGUAAUUCUAGAGCUAAUACAUGCUAAAAACCCGACUCUCGGAAGGGUUGUAUUUAUUAGAUAAAAACCAAUGCGGUCUCGGCCGGUUAUUUGGUGAUUCAUAAUAACUUUGCGAAUCGUAU
rnacentral:rRNA from 1 species